AUCGCUUCUCGGCCUUUUGGCUAAGAUCAAGUGUAGCUUUUAGAAUUUUUAUAGUAGGAUUUUAUAUGUAGAAAUUCCUGUAAGCUACAUUUAAUGGCAGUUUUUAUGUUUGUUUUUCAGUUC
ensembl:snRNA U2 U2 spliceosomal RNA